UUUCAUCCCUAUUCUUAAGGCUCGAACUGACUUAAGCAUCGGAGGAUCAAGAAUCAGAGGAUUUCUAUCCAAUUUUUUGACUGAUUUUGUAGAUUGACGGAGUUUUCAUCAGGUCAUAAGGAUCGCUCUAGCCCAAUCUCAUCCAAGUCGAUUCACUCUACUCUAGAUUUCGAGCCCACAGUAAUAGAUUGGUGCUAGAGGAAAGAUCCCUGAUUUCUUUUGUGGAAAAGAUGGUUAAAGCAUGAGCUCAACAUCCCUCUCCCUUUGCUCCAGAAGAAAGAGCACCUGAGGCACCACCACAGCAACCAAUUGCUGUUGAUUC
rnacentral:lncRNA from 1 species